rnacentral:rRNA from 1 species
UCGAGGGGUAACAGAGGAGAGCUUGCACUCUUGCUGACGACCGGCGCACGGGUGCGUAACGCGUAUACAACCUACCUUUUGGCGGGGAAUAGCCCAGGGAAACUUGGAUUAAUGCCCCAUAGUAUGGGAAUAUCUCCUGAUAUUUUCAUUAAACAUUUAUGGCCAUUAGAUGGGUAUGCGUCCUAUUAGUUAGUUGGUAAGGUAACGGCUUACCAAGGCAGCGAUAGGUAGGGGUCCUGAGAGGGAGAUCCCCCACACUGGUACUGAGACACGGACCAGACUCCUACGGGAGGCAGCAGUGAGGAAUAUUGGACAAUGGGCGAGAGCCUGAUCCAGCCAUGCCGCGUGCAGGAAGACUGCCCUAUGGGUUGUAAACUGCUUUUACAGAGGAAGAACCACUCCCACGUGUGGGAGUUUGACGGUACUCUGCGAAUAAGGAUCGGCUAACUCCGUGCCAGCAGCCGCGGUAAUACGGAGGAUCCAAGCGUUAUCCGGAAUCAUUGGGUUUAAAGGGUCCGUAGGCGGGCAGUUAAGUCAGUGGUGAAAGUCUUCCGCUCAACGGGAGAACUGCCAUUGAUACUGAUUGUCUUGAGUUAUUAUGAAGUGGUUAGAAUGAGUAGUGUAGCGGUGAAAUGCAUAGAUAUUACUCAGAAUACCGAUUGCGAAGGCAGAUCACUAAUAAUAUACUGACGCUGAUGGACGAAAGCGUAGGUAGCGAACAGGAUUAGAUACCCUGGUAGUCUACGCCGUAAACGAUGGUUACUAGCUGUUCGGAUCGAUUAAGAUCUGAGUGGUUAAGCGAAAGUGAUAAGUAACCCACCUGGGGAGUACGUUCGCAAGAAUGAAACUCAAAGGAAUUGACGGGGGC